rnacentral:tRNA from 1 species
GGUGUAGUUCAGUUGGUUAGAGCGUCAGAUUGUGGUUCUGAAUGUCGUGGGUUCGAGCCCCACCAC